UACGUAGGGAGCAAGCGUUGUUCGGAAUUAUUGGGCGUAAAGAGCGCGUAGGCGGUUUGGUAAGUCUGACGUGAAAUCCCGGAGCUUAACUCCGGAACUGCGUUGGAAACUGCCAGGCUUGAGUGCGGGAGAGGUGAGUGGAAUUCCCAGUGUAGAGGUGAAAUUCGUAGAUAUUGGGAGGAACACCGGUGGCGAAGGCGGCUCACUGGACCGCAACUGACGCUGAGGCGCGAAAGCUCGGGGAGCAAACGGG
rnacentral:rRNA from 1 species